rnacentral:rRNA from 1 species
CAUAAAUCACUUUUUUAACCUAACAAAUUUCAAUAAUAAUUCUGUUUGGAUUGAUUCUUCUAAAUUUUAGUGUAGAACUGUUUGCCAACCUGUGACAUUGACUACCAAUUUUCUUAAAGUUUAUAAUUAUCCGUAAGAUUUACGUAGAACCAAGUACUUGUAUUGAUGAGUCUAAAUUUUAAUGUUGAAAGGUGUGCCAACAGCUGAAAUCAACUCACUAAACUUCAUAAAGUGUACAAUAAUCUGUAAGAAUUUCAAAGAAUACGAGAACUGAGAAUAACAUACAUGUUUAAGAAAAUGAGAGGUAAAAAUAAAGAAGAAUGUGAGGUAAAGAGAGAAGACGAAGAAGGGUGUGGUUGUUGGUUCAAGAAUUUCUUUUCUCCGAUUCCCAAACCAGUUUGUGAGCCUCCACCAAAGAAAGGGUUUUUUCAUUGGAAAUGGAAUAAAUGUAACCACCCCAGUGUUGAUAAAGCUGCAGUGAAAUGUGAAUUUAAACCAAUGCUAAGAGUUGGUUUAUUGUUUGUUGAAUUUUUAAGAAAGUUGUUCAUACCAUCUCCAUACCUGCAUUAGCUCAAGAUCCAUGACGUGCGUAGAAAGUUUCUUGGGAAACUUUUCAUACCAUCGGCAAGUACAUUUGUAGUUUAUGCAAAGGGGAAAGAAGACAAAGUAGAGCCACCUAAAAAUUUACCAGCUGAAUGCGAAAAAUUGAUUAGAGCUUUAGAUCUUCCUCUUUAUAGAGAAAAUAAAGGAAAAAGUGAAGAAGUAAAAAACCAAUUAAGCGAUGAUAAUUUCAUCGUGAGAACAGUAAGGUGUAUGAGAGAAGAGCUUAAAGUAUUUUCUGAUCAAUUUUCAAUAGUAAGGCAACAAGUAGCUGGUGUUCUUCUAACUGGGAAAGCUCACACUGCUCAGACCAUUGAUUAUCUUAGAGAGCCUGAAAAUACAUACCCAAGAAUCGGAGCUAUAACUGCAGGUGCUCUUACUGGAUAUUUACUUGCUCUACGUAAAGGACGAUUUAAGAAGCUGGUAUACUUGGGUACUGGUGCUGGCCUAGCAGGUGCUGUAUUAUAUCCUGAAGAAUCUAAAGAUUUGGGCGAAGAGGGGCUUAAAUACAUGAAGAAAUAUGUAGUCAUUGCUUACCACUUCUUAAAUGGAGUUAGUCGUGAUUUAACUGGGUUUGAGCUACCUAAUUUACCACUAAAUAAUCAUCAUUUAAGUGUUACCGAUGGUCAUCACAAGGAAAGUGGUGACUCAGUGCCAGAACCGAGUCAUCUGUUGCCCCCUACUGCAGCCGCAACUCAUUUGCAUUUACACCCCGAUGAGGUGAAAAAAUAAAAGUAAAAAAUGAAGAAUAGAACAGGAUUGGACUAAUUCAACUAUAGAAUGUUAAUAAUUUAUUCCUUCAAUAAAUACUGUUACUAGGUAAUUUUAAAUUUGGUUUCUUAUGGUUAUCAAAAACAAUUAGCUAAGAUUGUCUAUACUGGUCAUACUUUUUACUUUACAGUAAGUUCAAUGAACUUUGUUUUAUUGUUAUUUGUUUUUAAUUUAAAAAAAGAAUAUUGUUUUCAUUAAUUUAAUUUUAUUAUUAAAAUUUUUUAAAUAAAUAUUUUUGGGGAUAAGCUCUAUAAUUUUUUAAAACAUUUAUUUACUAUAAGAUUUUUUUUAGGAUUGAAAAUUUUCAUUAUAUUUUGUUAUAAUUAUUUUUCUUUAUGAAAGAUUUUUUUUUGUUUAAUUUUUUAUUAAUAUUUUAUAUUUACUUUAUGUUUAUAAUAAAUAAUGAUAAAAUUAGUAAUUUUUUUAAUCUGUUUAUAGUAACUCGGCAAAUUUAAUUUUCACCUGUUUAACAAAAACAUGGUCUUUUGUUUUUUAUUUAAGAUCAGGCCUGCCCAUUGAUUUUAAAAAAUUAAAAGGCUGCGGUAUUUUAACUGUACGAAGGUAGCAUAAUCAUUUGUCUUUUAAUUGUAGGCUAGAAUGAAUGGUUUAAUGAAAAAUUAACUUUCUUUAUUCAGUUAAAUUUAAUUUAAUUUUUAAGUUAAAAAGCUUAAAUUUUUAUAUAGGACGAGAAGACCCUUUAGAAGUUUACUUUUUUUAUAAAAAUUAUUUUUUAGUUUUUAAAUAAUUUUUUUUUGAAUGAAAAGUUUGGUUGGGGUGACAGUAAAAUUUAAUUAACUUUUAUUUUUAAUUUCAUUUAUAAAUGUUUUUUUGAUCCAAAAUUUUUGAUUAAAAGAUCAACUUACCUAAGGGAUAACAGCGUAAUUUUUUUGGAGAGUUCAUAUCGAUAAAAAAGUUUGCGACCUCGAUGUUGAAUUAAGAUUAGAAUUGGGUGAAGAAUUUCAAUUUUCUUGGUCUGUUCGACCAUUAAAUUCUUACAUGAUUUGAGUUCAGACCGGCGUGAGCCAGGUCGGUUUCUAUCCUUACUUAAUAUAAUUUAGUACGAAAGGACCAUUUAUAUUAAUUAAAUUAUUUUUUUUGAUU